CCCUACCUUGCUUGCUCUUUGGCUGCAGGCAUUUUCUUUUGAUCAUCUCAUGCUAUUCCUAUGAGGUUUCUUGGGUGCAAACAUUGUUUUUAUUUCUUUCAGCUGGCAUAUGUGCAAAAUGGAAUAACAAAAUUAAUAUAUAUAUAAAAUGUACACCCAGUAUCUCAACUGAUAUUUUGUCCUCCAUUCAUGCAUUCUAAACAUUUUGUUGCUUAUAGAACUGAUGAAAUCUGAACAACUGUAUAUAUAACUAUAUACAUAACUGUUCUUUCUUAUUAACUUUACAAUUACCGUUUCCAUCAACCAGCAUGGUCCAAUCUUCACUGUACGUGCUGCUGGAAAGCGCUUGACCUUUGUGACUCUGCAUUUUCGUACCUUCUUCAUGUCUAAAGAUGUGGACUUUGAGCAAGCAGUGCAGGAGCCAUGCUACAACACAGCAUCUAUCAGCAAAGAUAGUUUCUACAAGUUCCACCCAGCAUGCAACACUCUGAUCAAGGGCAGGCUGACCCCAGGGAACUCGGCCAUGUUGGCCAACCACCUGUGCGAGGAGUUCAACGAGCACCUGGAACUACUGGGGGACAGCGGGACCAGAUGUCUUAACGACCUGGUCAGGUACUGUCACUUGUGUGCUUUUUCAUCUGGUGCAAAGGCAACAGGAAAAUGACUCUCCUCUCAGGCCGAAUGAGGGCAGCUGGGCUUCAGGCUUUCCUGCUCUAGCCAUGCAAAAAGUGAUUGACAUUUACAAGUUUAGGCGGGUACCAGGUUUUAGCAAAAGGAAGAUAAUCAGUUUUAUCGCAUGGGUCUUACUUGGACUUGAACCUUUACCUUGAUAUAUCUAGUAGUUCCAUGUUCUACCCACUGAUAAAUAGCACUUUUGUACAGUAAGUGCUUUACUUGGUACACAGAUUCUCUGUGGUCAGGUUGUCAGGAAUGUUUUUGCAGGAAAAGAUAUAGGCAAGCAAUGCUGUUGAACUGUAACUGCAGGCAGGGAUUCCAUGCAGACAUAUAUAGUAUUAUCUGUAAAUGUCAUAAAUGUUGCUUGCUGCUGUUAACUGUAAAUAUAAACUCCUUUUACUCUGAAACAAAUAUUUCACACAGAGGUACUGUGAGACAACAGAGAAACACAUAUGUACACCCAUAGCAAUAUACAAUAUACAUCCAAGAAGAAUUGUAAGGGUUUACUGUUAGCAUAGAUGCUCCAUGCAUGAUGUGUCAUGGUAUCACCACACCCUCUAGACCAGAGGAACUGAACCAACUGAAUCCCCACCUCCACCCUCAUGAAUUUACAGCAAGAAAAUGUGUUAACAAAACACAUCCUCAUUAAAUGUCCCUUAUUGUCAUUCUGAACCGUCUGACUCACUAAUGGCAAUAUGUUAUCUUUUUCUCAAAAUGUUCAAACUGUGUUGUUUUCUUUUUAAUCCAUAUCACUCCAGUGUGUCGUGUGUGCCAUUAA
rnacentral:lncRNA from 1 species